GCUGAAGUCGGACGCUUAACCGACUGCGCCACCCAGGCGCCCCAUUAAGAAGAAAACUCGGCAGACGUGUUUGUGAUUCUGUUCAUGGCCAAUCAUGAAGGGGAAAUAAAAGGCUUUCAAAAGCUCCCCUACUGACCUUGGUGACCUGACUUAACCUCCCGGUGCCUCAGUCUUCUCAUCUGUAAAAUCGGGGAUACUAAGAACACCUGACCUCCAGGCCAACAGAGCGUGGCUCUCACACGAGAUUCUCCAGGGUUCCGGGUCUGAAUCUGCCUGGGUUCAGACCGGGUUUGUCUAAGCCCAGGACCCAUGACCUACCUCCAGCCACUGACUGAGCAACCACGCAGAAGAAAGUCAGCAAGGCUAGAGAAGCCAACCACACCGUCGGCUGACAGAUAACACCUUUCACCCAACGACAUCAAGCUUCACGUUUUUGUCAAGUGCCCAUGGGACAUAUACAAGACGGACCCUCUCCCGGGCCCCAAGACCAGGCUCUGGAAUCACACAGGGCGUGCUCUCUGACCACGAGGUACGCAAACUGGAAAUCAAUGAGAGAAAGACAGCAGGAGACUCUCCAAACACUUGGGAGACUAAAGCCAUGACCUCCCGAGCAGAGAAAAAUCAGGAAUGUCCCAACUGUCCCCAGUGUGGGCCUGGGUAUGUCGCGUUCAUAAACUAGAUCAGCUUGAGCCAUCGAUGAAGAGAGAGUGCAUGAGGACGCGGACAUCCGUUGGGUCACAUGUUAUAUGAAAAAAAGCAGGCUGGUUGGCACCGUGUCCAUCGGGGUCAUUAAAGUUUUGUAAAAAGAUGCGCGGAGGGGGUCGCCCGGGU